AUUGAACGCUGGCGGCAGGCCUAACACAUGCAAGUCGAGCGGAGCGGCGGACGGGUGAGUAAUGUACGGGGAUCUGCCCGAUAGAGGGGGAUAACUACUGGAAACGGUGGCUAAUACCGCAUACUAUCAGAUGAGCCUAGGUCGGAUUAGCUAGUUGGUGGGGUAAAGGCCUACCAAGGCGACGAUCCGUAACUGGUCUGAGAGGAUGAUCAGUCACACUGGAACUGAGACACGGUCCAGACUCCUACGGGAGGCAGCAGUGGGGAAUAUUGGACAAUGGGCGAAAGCCUGAUCCAGCCAUGCCGCGUGUGUGAAGAAGGUCUUCGGAUUGUAAAGCACUUUCAGCGGGGAGGCGUUACCCGCAGAAGAAGCACCGGCUAACUCCGUGCCAGCCGCCGCGGUAAUAC
rnacentral:rRNA from 1 species